GACGUAGGGCGCGAGCGUUGUCCGGAUUUAUUGGGCGUAAAGAGCUCGUAGGCGGCUUGUUACGUCGUUCGUGAAGACUUGGGGCUCAACUCCAAGCUUGCGGUCGAUACGGGCAGGCUAGAGUUCGGUAGGGGAGACUGGAAUUCCUGGUGUAGCGGUGAAAUGCGCAGAUAUCAGGAGGAACACCGGUGGCGAAGGCGGGUCUCUGGGCCGAUACUGACGCUGAGGAGCGAAAGCGUGGGGAGCGAACAGG
rnacentral:rRNA from 1 species